rnacentral:tRNA from 2 species
GGGCUCAUAGCUCAGGUGGAUAGAGCAACAGCCUUCUAAGCUGUGGGUCAGGGGUUCGAAUCCCUUUGGGCUCA